AUUGAACGCUGGCGGCAGGCCUAACACAUGCAAGUCGAGCGGAUGAAGGGAGCUUGCUCCUGGAUUCAGCGGCGGACGGGUGAGUAAUGCCUAGGAAUCUGCCUGGUAGGGGGGGAUAACGUCCGGAAACGGGCGCUAAUACCGCAUACGUCCUGUGGGAGAAAGUGGGGGAACUUCGGACCUCACGCUAUCAGAUGAGCCUAGGUCGGAUUAGCUAGCUGGUGGGGUAAAGGCCUACCAAGGCGACGAUCCGUAACUGGUCUGAGAGGAUGAUCAGUCACACGGGAACUGAGACACGGUCCAGACUCCUACGGGAGGCAGCAGUGGGGAAUAUUAGACGAUGGGCGAAAGCCUGAUCCAGCCAAGCCGCGUGUGUGAAGAAGGUCUUCGGAUUGUAAAGCACUUUAAGUUGGGGGGAAGGGCAGUAAGUUAAUACCUUGCUGUUUUGACGUUACCAACAGAAUAAGCACCGGCUAACUUCGUG
rnacentral:rRNA from 1 species